rnacentral:lncRNA from 14 species
UCCAAAAGCCAGGUUUGAGAACGUCCCGCUGCUGAACCAAGGCUCUUUGCAAAGGAAAGGGUCAGGCAGAGGUUACAGGUUUCCUCUUCGUUUCUGAGGGACAUUGUGGCUUCUCUGUGCUCUGCAUGAAAUCCAGAGGUGUGAGUGAGCCUGAAUUCCAGAAGCUGCCAAGGGCAUGAAGAGAGUGGUGUGGAGAAGGAAGAAUCCAUAGGUGGGCACCAACUGCACUGAUGAAGUUACGCAUCUCCUAAGGGAUAAGGCAGGUAAGCACCCACAUGUUCCUGGAAACCAAAGGCAUCACAAUUCCUAGCUGAGAUCACACUGGCAGCACCUUCCCUCCUUUCCUACAAAGCUGAUG